UACGAAGGGGGCUAGCGUUGUUCGGAUUUACUGGGCGUAAAGCGCACGUAGGCGGGUUGUUAAGUCAGGGGUGAAAUCCUGGAGCUCAACUCCAGAACUGCCUUUGAUACUGGCAACCUAGAGGCUGGAAGAGGUUAGUGGAAUUCCCAGUGUAGAGGUGAAAUUCGUAGAUAUUGGGAAGAACACCGGUGGCGAAGGCGGCCCACUGGUCCGGUACUGACGCUGAGGUGCGAAAGCGUGGGGAGCAAACAGG
rnacentral:rRNA from 1 species